CCGGCCCUGCCAGGAGCUGGGGGGAGCAGAGCUCAGCCCCCCAUCCAUAAAGCCCCCCGGAUAUCUCAGCCCUGACCCCCCCAGAGAGCAGCCAGAGCACCCCGGGUUCUUUCAGGGUGGGGGUCCCCCAAAGGAGGGAGCAGUUGGGGGGAUACCCACAGGUCUGGGGUGCUGGGGAGGGGGGAAUGUGUUCCCCUGGAGGAGUGGAAGCCCCUGGCUGCCAUUAUCCCCUCCUGCCCCAUCCUCCACGUCUGAGUCCUCGGGAAGGGCCCGGAGCCGCCUGUGCUCCCCAUCCCUGUCGCCAUAGCAACAGCAGGCCGUGCUCAUCCCGCAUCCCGCAUCCAUUAUCCUGCAUCCCGCAUCCAUCCAUCCCCCACCUCCCUCCUGGGGCGUCCUGCCUUCCACAUCCCCAAUCCUUCACCUUGCAUCCCUCAUCCUUCACCCUGCAUUCCGCAUUCUCACAUCCCUGAUUCUGCAUCCCUCACCCUGCAUCCCAUAUUCUGUAUCCUGCACUCAUCCUCCCACAGCCCUCACCUUCCAUAUUCCUGCAUCCUUUGCCCUGCAUUCCCAGUUCCCAAAUCCCUCACCCUGCAUCCCCCAUAUUCUGUAUCCUGCACCCCUCAUCCCUCACCCUGCAUCUCUGAUCCUGCAUUCCCCUUGCCCACAUCCCUCAUCCUGCAUUUCCCCAUCUCUGCAUCCCUCACGCUGCAUUCCCCAUUCCCACAUCCCUGCUCCUGCAUCCUUCAUCCUGCAUUUCCCCAUUUCUGCAUCCCUCAUCCUGCAUUUCACAUUCCUGCAUCCUUCACCUUGUAUCCCUCAUCCCACACCCCUCACCCUGCAUUCCCCAUUCCCACAUCCCUGAUUCUGCAUCCCUCAUCCUUCAUCCCUCAUCCUACAUUUCACAUUUCUGCAUUCCUCACCCUU
rnacentral:lncRNA from 1 species